CAGCACCUCAAGUGGUCAGGAUGAUUAUUGGGCCUAAAGCAUCCUUAGCCUGCUUUGUUAGUUUUCGGUUAAAUCCAUACGCUCAACGUAUGGGCUGCCGGGAAUACUGCAAAGCUAGGGAGUGGGAGAGGUAGACGGUACUCGGUAGGAAGGGGUAAAAUCCUUUGAUCUAUUGAUGACCACCUGUGGCGAAGGCGGUCUACCAGAACACGUCCGACGGUGAGGGAUGAAAGCUGGGGGAGCAAACCGGAUUAGAUACCCGAGUAGUCC
rnacentral:rRNA from 1 species